UUGGAUUAAGUGGUGAGCCGCCUGCCUCUAAAAGGACCGGGAGGCUUUCAAGCCCGAGUGCCGGAAAAACCACGGCAAUCUUCGGCAGCCACCACGUGGGGCGGCGAGCACGACAGCGGUACCUGCGGGACCCACAGCCGGCCGGGCCCUGGCGCCGGCCCCGACGGCCGCGGCCACCUCCGCCCCGCCGCUCCGGGGCCUCACCUCCUCCGGGGCCUCGGUUAACCUCCCGGCGCUGCAAGGUGCAUCAGAUUUUUAGUCCUGAGUGGCUGCAAGGGGGCCUGUCCAUUAUGAAUCUGGAAGCCCUCUAUGGUUAAGGAUUAUUUCACAGAUUCCCUGAAAGUAGAAGAAAAGUUGAGAAAGGUAAAAAUUUGAUCUUUAGCAAAUGCUUGACCUUCAAGGCACACGUCAGUGUUGUACUUUAUGGGGGGGACUGUUCCCCUUAGUAUUUCUUCCUUCCUUCCUUCCGACUGCUCCUGACUUUCUAAGCCUCAGCCCUUGCACAUCUGUACCUUAGUUUGGAAUUCUGUGAGCCCCAAACUUCUGUUCUUGCUCCUUUAGGCCAUCAGAUAUUCCUGUUAAAUAACAGGGAGACACCAGGCACCAUUUGGCACCAGAUCCAGGAUCUGAGAGCACGCAAUAAGGGAGGAAAAGUCAGCUGCUGCAGUAGUCACUUCACGAUGGGAAUACAAAUGACGUAGAUCCACACUACCUACUGCAGUAGGCACUUUACAUUGAAUGGCUCUUUACAUUGAAUUCAUUCAUUCACUUAUUUUUAAUGUUUUUAUUUGAGUAUAGUCAACACGCAGUGUUACAUGAAUUUCAGGUGUACAUAGUGAUUCAACACCUCUAUGCGUUAUGCUGUGCUCUGCACAAGUAUAGCUACCAUCUGUCGCCAUACAACACUAUUACGAGAAAAAUUGACUGUAUUCCCUGUGCUGUGCCUUUUAUUCCUGUGACUUAUUCAUCCCAUAACUGGAAGCUGGCACCUCCCAUUCCCCAUCACCCUUUUUGCCCAUCCCUUUAUCCUUCUUCCCUCUGGCAACCAUCAGGUUGUUCUCUGUAUUUAUUGGUCUGAUUCUACUUUUAACUAAAAUUAAAUAAAAUCAAAAUUACAAUUCUCCAGUGAUUCUAGUCGCAUAUGACAUGCCCAGGAUCCAUGUGUGGCUAGUGGCUACUGUGUGAGUAUAGAUUUUAUAGGCCCUUUCUAACAUCACAGAAAGUUCUCUUGGAGAGUACUGAUCUAGUCUUUUUACCCAAUCACUUUUUAAAGUUUUUACUUAUUUUAAUUCCAUUAGUUAACAUAUAGUGUGAUAUUAGUUUCAGGUGUACCAUAUAAUGAUUAACACUUCCAUACAAUACCCGGUGCUCAUCACAAGAACUCCACUCCUUACUCCCCAUCACCUGUUUAACCCAUUCCCCCCUCCCGUCUGGUAACCAUCAAUUUGUUCUUUAAGAGUUUGUUUCUUACGUUUAUUCUCUCUCAUCUUUCCCCCUUUGCUUAUUUGUUUUGUUUCUUAAAUUCUACUUAUGAGUGAAAUCAUAUGGUAUCUGUGUUUCUCUGUCUGACUUACUUUGUUUAGCAUAAUACGCUCUAGCUCCAUCCGUGUUGUUGCAAAUGGCAAGAUUUCAUUACUUUUUAUGGCUAAAUGAUAUUCCAUUAUAUGCGUGUGUGUGUGUAUACACACACACACACACACACACACACCCCACCUCUUCUUUAUCCAUUCCUCAACUGACAGGCACUUGAACUGCUUUCAUAUCUUGGCUAUUGUGAAUAAUGCUGCUCUGCUGUUUAGCCAACCACCUUUAAGCUGACAGGCAUGGGUUGUCUCUUAUGGAUGACAGUCGCAGAAAUGGUAAAACUUUGCUUUGAUAACAGUAAUGCUUUUUAAUAGAGAGAGCCAAAGGAAACUUCUUCACAAAAUUAAUGGUGUUCCCAACUAGUUCUGAUGAAAAAUUAAGAAACUUAGGUCCAUCUGGAAAUAAGUAAGUGGGUAUCAGUGUACCAUGACUGCUAUAGACUGAAUUAUGUCCUUAAAAUUCUUAUGCUAAAGCUCUAACCCCCAAGAUGACUGUGUUUGGAGGAAAUAGGGCCUAUGAAGAGGAGAUAAAGGUUAAAUGAGGUCAUAAUGGUAGAGCCCUAAUUCGAUAGGACUGCUGCCCUUGUAAGAAGGAGAUGAGACAUCAGAGCUUGCACUCCUCCCUGUGUGAUGAUGCAUCAAGAAGGCAGCCAUCUGCAAGCCAGGAAGGGAGCUCUCACUAGAACUAUAUCAUGCUGGUAGCCUGAUCUGAGACCCCCUGCCUCUCAAGCUCUAGAGAAAUAAUUUCUACUAUUUAAGUCACUCAGCCUAUAGUAUUCUGCUAUGGCAGCCUGCACAGACUAAUACAAUGACCUUGUAUUUGAAUGAUUGCUACUAAUAAUGGCUAACAUUUGUAUUUUCAAUUUUGCAUAUUUUAUAUUUUUUUCACAAAACUCCUUGAGGCUGGCAUUAAUAUUAUGAUUUUAUAGAUGAAAAAAAAGUGGCUUGAAAACUCUCAGAUUAUCAAGGGUCAAACUGAGUCUAGAAAACCAGGGCUUCGGAGACCCAGUGCCGUAGGCACUCUGCCAUAUUGCUUUAGAGAUCUCUUGUGAUUAUUCCAUACAGACUGUACCUGGGUAGCUGAACAUGAGGGCUAAUCCAUGGCUGCUCUCACAUUUGAGUCUUUGGGUCCAGCAGAAAUAACAGAGAGUCCAGGAACAUGGAAAUCAUUAUUGCAUGACCAACAAGGGAUUAUUUCCCAGAAUAUUGAAAAUAUCUUUCUACAAGCAUAUUUUUAAAAAAGAGAGAAAUUGAAAGAAAAUACAAACAAAAAAUCUGCAGAGGAAGAAAUUCAAGUAGCUGAUAUACAUUUUUGGAUGUGUAAACUUGUUAGUAAAAAA
rnacentral:lncRNA from 1 species